rnacentral:rRNA from 1 species
CAUUAUCGUAUAACCGAGGCACCGGGGCUGUCGCUGACCUUCGAGUCGUGCACGUCCUAGUGUCUGCAUCCCAUCCCUCACCCCUUGUGCACCACCGCGUGGGCCCCCCUUUUGGCUUCUGUCAGAAGGGGUGCUCGCGUCUUUUUUAACACAAACGCAAUGCAGUGUAGAAUGUAUUCUUUUAUGCGAUAAUAAUGCAGUCAAUACAACUUUCAACAACGGAUCUCUUGGCUCUCGCAUCGAUGAAGAACGCAGCGAAAUGCGAUACGUAAUGUGAAUUGCAGAAUUCAGUGAAUCAUCGAAUCUUUGAACGCACCUUGCGCCCCUUGGCAUUCCGAGGGGCACACCCGUUUGAGUGUCGUGAACAUCAUCAACCUUUUUGGUUUCUUGACCAAGAAAGGCUUGGAAUUUGGAGGUGCUUUUGCUGGCUUUAAUCAAAGCCGGCUCCUCCUAAAUGCAUUAGUGGGGUCCAACUUUUGCUGAUCCUGGACGUGAUAAGAUGCUUCUACGUCCUUUGGGGUUUUCAAACCAUACCUGCUUCUAACUGUCUCAUCAGAGACAACACACCACGCGUGAAACCUCUUGACCUCAAAUCGGGUGAGACUACCCGCUGAACUUAAGCAUAUCAAUAAGCGGAGGAAAAGAAACUAACAAGGAUUCCCCUAGUAACUGCGAGUGAAGCGGGAAAAGCUCAAAUUUAAAAUCUGGUGGUCUUUGGCCAUCCGAGUUGUAAUUUAGAGAAGCGUCUUCCGCGCUGGACCCGUGCACAAGUCUCCUGGAAUGGAGCGUCAUAGAGGGUGAGAAUCCCGUCUUUGGCACGGAUACCCGGA